rnacentral:rRNA from 1 species
AUGGGUUGUAAUGCUAAGAAAACAGCAUCACACCGCAGCCGAACCAGUGAACCCUCGUACUCCUCUCCGCGCGGGCUUCCACUGCCGCGUCUUCCCCAGCUCCCUGUCGUCCCCUUCCUAGGCCUCGCCGUCGUCCACCGCCCUGGUGUCUCGGCACGGCGUGGUCAACGUGGUCAAGGAACGACUUCCAUCGGACGUGGACUGUACAUGGAGAGGCUGACAGCUGGGUCCACGGCCGCAGCAAGGAAGUGCCUCCUUAUUACGCGGAAAAUAAUGAUUCCUCCACCUGACAGCUGGGACCCACUGGACGGGCCACUGUAUUUCGCGAAAAAACGUUUCCCCCUGACUGCUGGGACCCACCAGCUACAUCUUCGCACGUAA